UAUGGAGGGUGCGAGCGUUAUCCGGAUUCACUGGGUUUAAAGGGUGCGUAGGUGGGAAUGUAAGUCAGUGGUGAAAUCUCUGAGCUUAACUCAGAAACUGCCAUUGAUACUAUGUUUCUUGAAUUUUCUGGAGGUCAGCGGAAUAUGUCAUGUAGCGGUGAAAUGCUUAGAUAUGACAUAGAACACCAAUUGCGAAGGCAGCUGGCUACAGGGAUAUUGACACUGAGGCACGAAAGCGUGGGGAUCAAACAGG
rnacentral:rRNA from 1 species